rnacentral:rRNA from 1 species
UGGGGAAUAUUGCACAAUGGGCGCAAGCCUGAUGCAGCAACGCCGCGUGAGGGACGACGGCCUUCGGGUUGUAAACCUCUUUUAGCAGGGAAGAAGCGAGAGUGACGGUACCUGCAGAAAAAGCACCGGCUAACUACGUGCCAGCAGCCGCGGUAAUACGUAGGGUGCAAGCGUUGUCCGGAAUUAUUGGGCGUAAAGAGCUCGUAGGCGGUUUGUCGCGUCUGCUGUGAAAACCCGAGGCUCAACCUCGGGCCUGCAGUGGGUAC